rnacentral:lncRNA from 1 species
UUGGACCCAAAUGAUCUAGUUGGUGGUACAGAGAUUGGACCAGAAUGGUGUGAGGUAAACGUUCAAGUACCAAUAAAAAAGAUGAAAACUUGGUAAGACCAUAUGGUUUAUUUUCUACAAUUCAAGAUUGUAUUGGUGCAUCCAUCGCAUGGCCCUAUCCAUUCAUCUCGGUAGUCCAUGAGGAUUGAGGACGCAUGAUGACU